rnacentral:rRNA from 1 species
CAGCCGUAAACAAUGUGCGUUAGGUGUGUCGGUAACCACGUGUUACUGAUGCGCCGAAGAGAAAUCGUGAAACGCACCACCUGGGAAGUACGGUCGCAAGGCUGAAACUUAAAGGAAUUGGCGGGGGAGCACCACAACAGGUGGAGCCUGCGGUUUAAUUGGAUUCAACGCCGGACAACUCACCGGGAACGACAGCAAUAUGUAGGCCAGGCUGAAGACCUUGCCUGAAUCGCUGAGAGGUGGUGCAUGGCGUAGACGUCU